UUCUCCCUUCUUUCCGUAAUAUAUGAAAACCCUACACCUUUAUUAACUUCAUCUCCUCCCUCCCUCCAUCUCAUCUCAUCUCGUCUCAACUUUCUUUCAUCAGGAUUUCUGAAACUCAAAUCCGUGUGUUAUAACAAGUGGGUAUUGCAGGAAACUUACAAGGAAAGAAGCUAUGGAGUCUGUUUUGUUCGAGCAAGAAAGGGCUGAUUACCAUGAAGUUGAUGAUGCUGGUUCGGUGAUUUCCUCUUCUUCUGAAUCUUCUUCUUCUUCUGAAGCUUCAACCAUGGAGGAAGAUGAUUCCCCUCGUGAAGAAGUCACUUCUCAUUCUUCAACUAAGGAUCCUCUUCUUCAAAUGUCUUCUCUUCUUCGACAACUCCCCUUCAAGUAACUCCUACCUCUCUCUCUCUCUCUCUCUAAGUAUUAUAAUUUAUUUUAUUUGC
rnacentral:lncRNA from 1 species